rnacentral:rRNA from 1 species
UACAGGGGGUGCAAACGUUGCUCGGAAUCAUUGGGCGUAAAGCGCACGUAGGCGGUCUGUUAUGUCGGAUGUGAAAUCGCCCGGCUCAACUGGGCGGGGUCAGCGGAUACGGUCGAGCUUGAGCAAGCUAGGGGGCAAUGGAAUUCCCGGUGUAGUGGUGGAAUGCGUAGAUAUCGGGAGGAACACCAGUGGCGAAGGCGGUUGCCUGGGGCUUUGCUGACGCUGAUGCGCGAAAGCGUGGGGAGCGAUCCGG